GAGUGUGGUCUAAGUGCUAUAAAGACAUCAGAUCCCAUCUGAUCUUGGAAGCUAAGUAUGGUCAGUCCUUCUUAGUAUGAGUGUCUAGAUCAAGGGAAGUCAUAGUCC
rnacentral:rRNA from 1 species